rnacentral:rRNA from 1 species
AAAGAGUGCGUAAUAGCUCACUAGUCGAGUGACACUGCGCCGAAAAUGUACCGGGGCUAAACAUAUUACCGAAGCUGUGGAUUGUCCUUUGGACAAUGGUAGGAGAGCGUUCUAAGGGCGUUGAAGCAUGAUCGUAAGGACAUGUGGAGCGCUUAGAAGUGAGAAUGCCGGUGUGAGUAGCGAAAGACGGGUGAGAAUCCCGUCCACCGAUUGACUAAGGUUUCCAGAGGAAGGCUCGUCCGCUCUGGGUUAGUCGGGUCCUAAGCUGAGGCCGACAGGCGUAGGCGAUGGAUAACAGGUUGAUAUUCCUGUACCACCUAUAAUCGUUUUAAUCGAUGGGGGGACGCAGUAGGAUAGGCGAAGCGUGCGAUUGGAUUGCACGUCUAAGCAGUAAGGCUGAGUAUUAGGCAAAUCCGGUACUCGUUAAGGCUGAGC